rnacentral:rRNA from 1 species
AUUGAACGCUGGCGGCAGGCCUAACACAUGCAAGUCGAGCGAGCGGCGGACGGGUGAGUAAUGUAUGGGGACUGCCCGAUAGAGGGGGAUAACUACUGGAAACGGUGGCUAAUACCGCAUACUAUCGGAUAACCCAUAUGGGAUUAGCUACUAGGUGGGGUAAAGGGUCACCUAGGCGACGAUCUCUAGCUGGUCUGAGAGGAUGAAGAGCGACACUGGAACUGAGACACGGCCCAGACUCCUACGGAGGCAGCAGUGGGGAAUAUUGCACAAUGGGCGCAAGACUGAUGCAGCCAUGCCUGGUGUAGGAAGAAGGCCUUAGGGUUGUAAAGUACUUUCACUCGGGAGGCGUUACCGACAGAAGAAGCACCGGCUAACUCCGUGCCAGCAGCCGCGGUAAUUC